rnacentral:lncRNA from 1 species
GGACCCCUAUUUGAUCCUCUAAACAGUACUCUAAAAUCUAGCAUCCCAGGACUAUCUAGAGUCCUCAAAGCAAUGAUCUCUCCGGAUCCAAGUGUAGAGAGAGAAAACAUGAAGUGAGAAAGCUUAGAGAGAAGAGAGAGAAGAUUAAUAAGGGAAAGGGGAAGAAAACUCCCUUUCUCUUUCUCUCUUCUUCCUUCUUCCCG